rnacentral:rRNA from 1 species
AUUGAACGCUGGCGGCAUGCUUUACACAUGCAAGUCGAACGGCAGCGCGGGCUUCGGCCUGGCGGCGAGUGGCGAACGGGUGAGUAAUACAUCGGAACGUGCCCAGUAGUGGGGGAUAGCUCGGCGAAAGCCGGAUUAAUACCGCAUACGACCUGAGGGUGAAAGCGGGGGAUCUUCGGACCUCGCGCUAUUGGAGCGGCCGAUGGCAGAUUAGCUAGUUGGUGGGGUAAAGGCCUACCAAGGCGACGAUCUGUAGCUGGUCUGAGAGGACGACCAGCCACACUGGGACUUAGACACGGCCCAGACUCCUACGGGAGGCAGCAGUGGGGAAUUUUGGACAAUGGGCGAAAGCCUGAUCCAGCAAUGCCGCGUGUGUGAUGAAGGCCUUCGGGUUGUAAAGCACUUUUGGCGGGAACGAAAAGGACUGUGCCAAUACCACGGUUCGAUGACGGUACCCGCAGAAUAAGCACCGGCUAACUACGUG